GCCCGGCUGGGGCUGCUGGGAGCGCCGGUGCCUCCCCUCCUAGCUUUCCGGAGCGCCUGGAAGGGAAGGGAAAGGGUUUGAGGGUGUUUUUUAACUGUAGGUGCAAGGCGAAAGGGGAAAGCUCCGCAGCCUAUAAAAAGCAUCACCGCUUCCUCAGCUGCCAGUGAGACCGGCAUCCUGGAGACUAACAGCUGUUGAGGGAUCUUGAGGGCUCCGGGCUGGGACUCUUUGUGGGUGUUCGUUCCAAAUGCAAAGUCGGGCUCUGUGAGGCUGUGGCUGUAUACCAUGCACACCUGGCUAGGAAAGACCAGGAAUGUGAGGUUGAUAUAAUUGAUAGAUCACUUUGUCUUCAAGAACUAUGGGUGACGUGACAAUUUAAAAAAUAAAUAAAUAAAUAAAAUUGAGGUCUCUGUUGAACAUGA